GACGAACGCUGGCGGCGUGCUUAAUACAUGCAAGUCGAACGGAAGGGCACCUUUGGGGGUACUCGAGUGGCGAACGGGUGAGUAAGACGUGAGUAAGCUGCCCUUGAUUUCCGGAUAACUACAGGAUAGUGGGGAGAAUACCGGAGAGGAAUCCUUGCUGCAGGGCGGGGGUUGGUAAGCUUCGGCGGUUUUGGAUGGACUCGCGUGGUAUCAGCUUGUUGGGUGGGUAGUGGCUUGCCAAGGCUUUGACGGGUAGCGGGCCCGCGAGGGCGACCGGCCACAUUGGGAAUGCUACACGGCCCAGACUCCUACGGGAGGCAGCAGUGGUGAAUAUUGCACAAUGCGCGGAAGCCUGAUGCAACAACGCCGCGUGCAGGAUGACUGCCUUCCGGUUGUACACCGCUUUCAGAAGGGACGAAGCUUGUGGUGACGGUACCUGCAGAAUAAGCACCGGCUAACUACGUG
rnacentral:rRNA from 1 species